GAAGGGCCCGAGCGUUGCGCGGAAUCAUUGGGCUUAAAGCGUACGUAGGCGGACGAGCAGGCAACCUUGUGAAAGCCCUCGGGCUCAACCGAGGAAUUGCUUGGUGAACCGCUCGUCUUGAGGCAAGUAGGGGCUGUCGGAACGAUAGGUGGAGCGGUGAAAUGCGUUGAUAUCUAUCGGAACGCCAAAGGUGAAGACAGGCAGCUGGGCUUGUUCUGACGCUGAGGUACGAAAGCGUGGGGAGCGAACGGGAUUAGAUACCCCGGUAGUCCACGCCGUAAACGAUGUGCACUAGAUCGAGGGGGGUUCUGACGCCAUUCUCGGUCGAAGCAAAAGUGUUAAGUGCACCGCCUGGGGAGUACGGUCGCAAAGGCUAAA
rnacentral:rRNA from 1 species